GGGCUUGUGGCGCAAUGGAUAACGCGUCUGACUACGGAUCAGAAGAUUCUAGGUUCGACUCCUGGCAUGCUCG
rnacentral:tRNA from 1 species